GAUGAACGCUAGCGGGAGGCUUAACACAUGCAAGUCGAGCGGUAGGGCAGCAAUGCCUGAGAGCGGCGCACGGGUGCGUAACGCGUAUGCAACCUGCCUUAUACAGGGGAAUAGCCCAUGGAAACGUGGAUUAAUGUCCCAUAGGAUUACGGAUUCGCGUGGAUUUGUGAUUAAAACUGAGGUGGUAUACGAGGGGCAUGCGUCUGAUUAGGUAGUUGGUAGGGUAAGGGCCUACCAAGACGACGAUUAGUAGGGGUUCUGAGAGGAUUACCCCCCACACUGGUACUGAAACACGGACCAGACUCCUACGGGAGGCAGCAGUGAGGAAUAUUGGUCAAUGGCCGGAAGGCUGAACCAGCCAUCCCGCGUGCAGGAUGACGGCCCUAUGGGUUGUAAACUGCUUUUGUACCUGAAGAAACCUGUUUACGAGUAGACAGUUGCCGGUAAGGUAUGAAUAAGCAUCGGCUAACUCCGUGCCAGCAGCCGCAGUAAAAC
rnacentral:rRNA from 1 species